rnacentral:rRNA from 1 species
CCUACGGGGGGCAGCAGUGAGGAAUAUUGGUCAAUGGGCUUACGCCUGAACCAGCCAAGUCGCGUGAGGGAAGACUGCCCUAUGGGUUGUAAACCUCUUUUGUCAGGGAGCAAUUGGCGCUACGUGUAGCGUUAUCGAGAGUACCUGAAGAAAAAGCAUCGGCUAACUCCGUGCCAGCAGCCGCGGUAAUACGGAGGAUGCGAGCGUUAUCCGGAUUUAUUGGGUUUAAAGGGAGCGUAGAUGGGUUGUUAAGUCAGUUGUGAAAGUUUGCGGCUCAACCGUAAAAUUGCAAUUGAUACUGGCAGUCUUGAGUACAGUUGAGGUAGGCGGAAUUCGUGGUGUAGCGGUGAAAUGCGUAGAUAUUAGGAGGAACACCAGUGGCGAAGGCGGCCUGCUGGACGACAACUGACGGUGAGGCGCGAAAGCGUGGGGAGCAAACAGGAUUAGAUACCCUGGUAGUC